rnacentral:rRNA from 1 species
AGCGAACGCUGGCGGCAGGCUUAACACAUGCAAGUCGAACGGCCCUUCGGGAUAGUGGCGGACGGGUGAGUAACACGUGGGAACGUACCCUUAGGUUCGGAACAACACAGGGAAACUUGUGCUAAUACCGGAUAAGCCCUUCGGGGGAAAGAUUUAUCGCCUUUGGAGCGGCCCGCGUCUGAUUAGCUUGUUGGUGAGGUAAUGGCUCACCAAGGCUACGAUCAGUAGCUGGUCUGAGAGGGUGGCCAGCCACACUGGGACUGAGACACGGCCCAGACUCCUACGGGAGGCAGCAGUGGGGAAUCUUGCGCAAUGGGCGAAAGCCUGACGCAGCCAUGCCGCGUGGAUGAUAAAGGUCUUAGGAUUGUAAAAUCCUUUCACCGGGGACGAUAAUGACGGUACCCGGAGAAGAAGCCCCGGCUAACUUCGUGCCAGCCGCCGCCGUAA